rnacentral:rRNA from 1 species
GCCUAUGGCCAUACCACCCUGAACGCGCCUGAUCUUGUCUGAUCUCGGAAGCUAAGCAGGAUUGGGCCUGGUUAGUACUUGGAUGGGAGACUACCUGGGUAUACCGGGUGCUGUAGGCU